UGCAGUUGGAAAAACACAAAGCUCCGCUCCAUUGCCUCGGUUCCAUGGCCGUUGGCUCUAUAGCCAGCCAUUCAAAAAAGCAGAGCCGUUUGAGAAAAGCUUCAUGGCCGUUGGCCCCAUAGCCGUUGAUAAAAGCUCCAUGGCUGUUGGCUCCAUAGUCAUUGAAAAAGCUCCAUGGCUGCCCAUUGAAAAAAGCUCCAUGGCUGCUAAUAUAUAUGGCUGCUAAUAUAUAUAUGGCUGGGUAAUCUGAGAAACCGACAGACUGUUUGUUUAGUUUCCUGCAAGUUACCUCGCGCGCGUGGAGAAGCCCUUCCCGUGGUGAUGGCGAUGGCGAUUUCAACAGUGAGGGCUUGUCCGAGAGAGUGAUGGCGCCCAUGCUUCAAGAUUUCCUCACCAGAAUGCGCAAUAUGACCUGUACCCUGCAUCUGCUCUGACGCCACAGGACUCAUCCGCAGCGCCAAUCAUCUGCGGAGGAAUGUUGUAGUAGUGAUGAUGAUGAGGAGGAGGAGAAAAGAAGCAAAACUACACAUCACAAGCAACAGGAAAUACAGCACAUACCAACAUUUGAAUUUGUGUAUCAUAAGCACUACAUUUGAAUCUGUAUUUGAUUAUACAUUUAGAUUUUGCCAUCCUUUUGUUUAUUUAGAUAUACUCAAAAAAUUUAAUUAAAAAAAUCUAAAAUUAAUGUUUUA